rnacentral:rRNA from 1 species
UACAGAGGGUGCAAGCGUUAAUCGGAAUUACUGGGCGUAAAGCGCACGUAGGUGGUUUGGUAAGUCGGAUGUGAAAGCCCCGGGCUCAACCUGGGAAUUGCAUUCGAUACUGCCUGACUAGAGUAUGGUAGAGGGGGGUAGAAUUCCCGGUGUAGCGGUGAAAUGCGUAGAUAUCGGGAGGAAUACCAGUGGCGAAGGCGGCCCCCUGGACCAAUACUGACACUGAGGUGCGAAAGCGUGGGUAGCAAACAGG